AUACGUAGGGGGCGAGCGUUGUCCGGAAUGACUGGGCGUAAAGGGCGCGUAGGCGGCCCGGUAAGUCUGGAGUGAAAGUCCUGUUUUUAAGAUGGGAAUUGCUUUGGAUACUGUCGGGCUUGAGUGCAGGAGAGGUAAGUGGAAUUCCCAGUGUAGCGGUGAAAUGCGUAGAGAUUGGGAGGAACACCAGUGGCGAAGGCGACAUACUGGGCCGUAACUGACGCUGAGGCGCGAAAGCGUGGGGAGCGAACAGGAUUAGAUACCCUGGUAGUCCACGCGGUAAACGAUGAAUGCUAGGUGUUGCGGGUAUCGACCCCUGCAGUGCCGGAGUAAACACAAUAAGCAUUCCGCCUGGGGAGUACGGCCGCAAGGUUGAAACUUAAAGGAAUUGACGGGG
rnacentral:rRNA from 1 species